CAUAAUCUUGUAUUUAUGAACUUUCGAAUUGCACAAUAAAGUGAGGAGAGAUUUACGGCAUGGGGUUUCUCCAGGGUGGCUCUCUGUAGUGUUAAAGUUACUCUUUCUGAUUGUCUCUGCCUCUCCAGUUAAGGGAAAUAGACAGUGAUAAUCAAUUGUGUUCAUGAACUGAGGAGUACUUGAAUGUAGCGCAGAUGGUGUUUGAGCCUGGGUGAUUAUUUUUACACUUUGACCACUCUAUUAACUGUGUUGUUUGUCAGAGUAGGAGUGUAUAUCCUAGCUUGGAGACCUUAGCCCUUGUUGAUGCCAUCUUUGAGGCUGAAUUUUGAGCUGAUGUUUUAUGCCAAGGUGAAAUGUUCUUGACCUGUGAUGAGUAGAGUUGGCUGGCAGUUUGAUAGAAGGAUAAGUCACAUGCUUGGCAGCUGAUAUGCAUCAUUUAAAGACUGUUUAUUUUCAUCAACUAUUGAAAUGAUCAGGCUGUAAUAAAAGCCCUGGCUCAUUACACAUGUCUCUGUACUUAUCAUUUUCCUUAAUGCAGACCUCCAUCCACCUGACAGGCUUCUGCUUUACCUCAGUGAAAUAAAAGAGAUUUGUUGGCUCAGACAGUGCAGCAUCCAAAAGAAGAAGAAGAAAACCAAAGCUUCAGUAUGGACAUUAAGCUGAAGCAAAACAAUUGUAAAGUGAAAAUGUAAUCAAUAUAUUAUUAGGAACACCAUAAUAAUACUGGAUAUGGCCUCCCUUUGCUCUCAAAACAGUCUCAGUUUUUAAUGGAAUGGAUUGAUCUAUGUUGACACGAUUGCAUCACAUAAUUUCUGCAGAUUUGUCAGCUGUACAAUCACUCUACCAAUCUCAUGUUCAGCCACAUCCCAAAGGUCUUCUAUUGGAUUUAGUCAUGGUGACUUGGGAGGCAAUUUAAGUACACUGAACAAAUUUCCAUGUUCAUGAAAUCUAUUUGAGAUGACUUGUGCUUUGCAAAAUGGGGCAUUAUCAUGCUGGAGGUAGCCAUUACAAGAUGUCUGAAUUGUGGCCACAAAGGGAUGCAACAACACUCUUCAGUCAACAGUCUUCCCCUGCCAGUUUAGGUGUUCAAACCAUGACUGACCACCACCAGCCUGAACUGUUGACACAAGUGCAUGGAAUCAUGAUGUUGUUGUCAGAUUCUGACCCUAACAUCUGCAGGCCUCAGUAGAAAUCUAGAUUCACCAGGCUAGGCUUUGGCUAAUUUCCCAUUCUGAUGUCUAAUGCGUAUAUUACAUGAAGCUUCUGACCUGUAUCUGAAUGAUUUUAUGUUUUGCACUGCUGCUACAUGAUUGGCUGAUUGAUGGAUUCAGCGGGUCUACAUGCGUUCCUUAUAAAGUGCUCAGUGAGUGUAUACUGUGUUGGGGAUGUGGCUAUUUAAGCUCUUUAUGCUGAGAACUAAAUUGAUAUGAGAUACUGUGUUUCAUUUUUAAUCUACCAUAAAACAGACAGAAUUAAUAAAAGAUCUUCAUAAAUUUUG